rnacentral:lncRNA from 12 species
AGUAGGAAGGAUAACAUCCACUGCAUUUUCCCAUUACACCCUCAAGCAUGCAAGACUGGUUUGUAGGAAUAACUGACAUUUCAAUGCUGAUAGAAAAACUCACAGCCAUCCCAGCAUUUUUAAGUAAAGUUUUGGGAGGAAGCCUUAGCAGAAAUGGUCUUUUGUCAUGGGACACAGCAGUCCAAUAUUUCUACUCUUCAUCAUGGUUUGGGUUAUGAUCAAAACUAGAGAUUGUGGCAGUGGGAUUUUAUGAAGAGGUCUGGGCUGUGUGUGUGUGUGUGUGUGUGUGUGUGUGUGUGUUUGCAUGUGUGCACACAGUGCGCCACACCAAGGGGAGAGCGGUCUAUGAAGGUGACAGGAGGGGCAUGUCCACUAGGAUGAGAACCAUUUUGGUAUCUCUAGCUUUAUACACUUUGGAAUCUCAGGUCUAAAAAUAACCCCCUUUUGGAACCCGUGUUGUUUAUCUGUAUCCUGGGUUUUCCCAUUCUUAAAAAUACCCUGACAUGCAUAUAAAGACUGCGUUCCAAAGGUUAAUGCUCCUUAAUCCUGAAGGGAGUGGACAGAUCCUGCAUGACCCACGGUGCCUUCUCACUUCCUGCUGGAGUUAUUGCAAAAGGAAUCCAGGAGACAAUGGGGCUGCUGAACACUUUCCGGAAUCGGGGCAUGCCUGCUAUGGUAUCAGGGGCCCUUUUGCUCGGGGGCCUUUCCUGGGUUCCCCUCCAGGGUCACCAGCAUGGGUCACACUUCCUUCCCCCAAGCUGGCUUGUUCCAUCAGGCCUUUCAGGGAAACCAGCGGCUGCCGGUGGUUGAGACUUCUGCUCAUAUGUAGCCCUGGCGGAAAGAAAGCACUCUAGAAAGGGAUUAUAUAAUGGAUUGUAAUGACACUGCUUAUGGUGGUUGUUAUUUUGAAAUGUGUCCUGGAGUAAUAAUAUAUUUCAGCACUCAGUAUAGAUUUCACAUUCUCAAGCAAAAUCAAGUGUAGUAAGGAGGGAGCUCUCUGCCCCUAAAAGCUCUUGUUCUGAUGUCAUGCCUACAAUCCUAUCUCUUCCUAUAGGUUAUUUAAAUGUCUCCUGAGGUAACCAGUUGCAUGUAGCCAAACCCCUUUUUUAAUUGAGUUUUCUUUUUUAAGAUGAGUCAUAUAUCCCCCCAAAAAAGCACCAAUUCAGAAUAAAGGCAGGAACAUUCUAGACA